CUACGGGGCGCUGCAGUGAGGAAUAUUGCACAAUGGGGGGAACCCUGAUGCAGCAACGCUGCGUGGAGGAUGACGCAUUUCGGUGUGUAAACUCCUUUUAUAUGUCAAGAAAAUGACGGUAGCAUAUGAAUAAGCACCGGCUAACUCCGUGCCAGCAGCCGCGGUAAUACGGAGGGUGCAAGUGUUACUCGGAAUCACUGGGCGUAAAGGACGCGUAGGCGGGUUGGAAAGUCAGGUGUGAAAUCCUACAGCUUAACUGUAGAACUGCACUUGAAACUUCUAAUCUAGAGUAUGGGAGGGGGAGAUGGAAUUAGUGGUGUAGGGGUAAAAUCCAUAGAUAUCACUAGGAAUACCUAAAGCGAAGGCGAUCUCCUGGAACAUUACUGACGCUAAGGCGUGAAAGCGUGGGGAGCAAACAGGAUUAGAUACCCCUGUAGUC
rnacentral:rRNA from 1 species